rnacentral:rRNA from 1 species
GAGGAAAAAAAAACCAACAGGGAUUGCUUUAGUAACGGCGAGUGAGCGGCAAAAGCUCAAAUUUGAAAUCUGGCACCUUCGGUGUCCGAGUUGUAAUUUGAAGAAGGUAACUUUGGAGUUAGCUCUUGUCUAUGUUCCUUGGAACAGGACGUCACAGAGGGUGAGAAUCCCGUGCGAUGAGAUGUCUAACUCUAUGUAAAGUGCUUUCGAAGAGUCGAGUUGUUUGGGAAUGCAGCUCUAAGUGGGUGGUAAAUUCCAUCUAAAGCUAAAUAUUGGCGAGAGACCGAUAGCGAACAAGUACAGUGAUGGAAAGAUGAAAAGAACUUUGAAAAGAGAGUGAAAAAGUACGUGAAAUUGUUGAAAGGGAAGGGUUUGAGAUCAGACUUGGUAUUUUGUAUGUCUUGCUUUCGGGUGGGGCCUCUGCAGUUUACUGGGCCACCAUCGGUUUGGAUGGUAGGAUAAUGACAUUGGAAUGUGGCACUCCUUCCGUGGUGUGUUAUAGACUUUGUUGAUACUGCCUGUCUAGACCGAGGACUGCGUCUUUGACUAGGAUGCUGGCAUAAUGAUCCUAAACCGCCCGAUUGA